AUCAAGCUGACGAGUCCCAAAUAGGACGAAACGCGCCUUCUGGAU
rfam:Schistosoma rodhaini strain Burundi genome assembly, scaffold: SROB_scaffold0001558